rnacentral:lncRNA from 1 species
AGAAUAUGUGAUGCUGAUGGUGAAUUCGUGAGAGUUGGCAACUAUGCCCUGUAUACAUGUACCGUAAUUUAUACAGUAUAUUCUUUACCAUUUGUUGAGUCCACAGCUGUUCAAAUGUACAUGUUUAUGUUGAAAUCAGUUUAGUAAAUGGUGUUGUGUUGGAGUUUAUUACAGUUCUACUGCUCUCUAUUUUUUAUCUGUUGGUUUUAUGGUAGGGCGGG